CCUACGGGUGGCAGCAGUGGGGAAUAUUGGACAAUGGGCGAAAGCCUGAUCCAGCCAUGCCGCGUGUGUGAAGAAGGCCUUCGGGUUGGAAAGCACUUUCAGUGGGGAAGAAAGCCUUGGGGCUAAUACCCUCGAGGAAGGACAGCACCCACAGAAGAAGCACCGGCUAACUCCGUGCCAGCAGCCGCGGUAAUACGGAGGGUGCGAGCGUUAAUCGGAAUUACUGGGCGUAAAGCGCGCGUAGGCGGUCUGAUAAGCCGGUUGUGAAAGCCCCGGGCUCAACCUGGGAACGGCAUCCGGAACUGUCAGGCUAGAGUGCAGGAGAGGAAGGUAGAAUUCCCGGUGUAGCGGUGAAAUGCGUAGAGAUCGGGAGGAAUCCCAGUGGCGAAGGCGGCCUUCUGGACUGACACUGACGCUGAGGUGCGAAAGCGUGGGUAGCAAACAGGAUUAGAUACCCCUGUAGUC
rnacentral:rRNA from 1 species